rnacentral:rRNA from 1 species
AAGGUCGAGCCGAAUGGAUUUGAGGAGCUUGCUCUCAAGAAGUUAGCGGCGGACGGGUGAGUAACACGUGGGUAACCUGCCCAUAAGACUGGGAUAACUCCGGGAAACCGGGGCUAAUACCGGAUAACAUUUUGAACUGCAUGGUUCGAAAUUGAAAGGCGGCUUCGGCUGUCACUUAUGGAUGGACCCGCGUCGCAUUAGCUAGUUGGUGAGGUAACGGCUCACCAAGGCAACGAUGCGUAGCCGACCUGAGAGGGUGAUCGGCCACACUGGGACUGAGACACGGCCCAGACUCCUACGGGAGGCAGCAGUAGGGAAUCUUCCGCAAUGGACGAAAGUCUGACGGAGCAACGCCGCGUGAGUGAUGAAGGCUUUCGGGUCGUAAAACUCUGUUGUUAGGGAAGAACAAGUGCUAGUUGAAUAAGCUGGCACCUUGACGGUACCUAACCAGAAAGCCACGGCUAACUACGUGCCAGCAGCCGCGGUAAUACGUAGGUGGCAAGCGUUUAUCCGGAAUUAUUGGGCGUAAAGCGCGCGCAGGGUGGUUUCUUU